GUACUGGCUUUACUGAUUCCUCCUUCUUGACGAACCGUGAUGUCAUUAAUUUGGUGUUGCGGGAAAUCAGGACUGUUACUUUGAAAAAAUUAGAGUGUUUAAAGCAGGCUAACGCUUGAAUACAUUAGCAUGGAAUAAUGAAAUAGGACGUUAAUCCUAUUUUGUUGGUUUCUAGGAUCGACGUAAUGAUUAAUAGGGAUAGUUGGGGGCAUUAGUAUUCAAUUGUCAGAGGUGAAAUUCUUGGAUUUAUUGAAGACCAACUACUGCGAAAGCAUUUGCCAAGGAUGUUUUCAUUAAUCAAGAACGAAAGUUAGGGGAUCGAAGACGAUCAGAUACCGUCGUAGUCUUAACCAUAAACUAUGCCGACUAGGGAUCGGAUGAUGUUAUUUUUAAUGACUCAUUCGGCGCCUUACG
rnacentral:rRNA from 1 species